rnacentral:rRNA from 1 species
AACGAACGCUGGCGGCAGGCCUAACACAUGCAAGUCGAACGAGCUGAGACCUUCGGGUCUCGAUGCUAGUGGCGCACGGGUGAGUAACGCGUGGGAACGUACCCUUUAGUACGGAAUAACCAAGGGAAACUUUGGCUAAUACCGUAUACGCCCUUCGGGGGAAAGAUUUAUCGCUAAAGGAUCGGCCCGCGUCUGAUUAGGUAGUUGGUGAGGUAACGGCUCACCAAGCCGACGAUCAGUAGCUGGUCUGAGAGGAUGAUCAGCCACACUGGGACUGAGACACGGCCCAGACUCCUACGGGAGGCAGCAGUGGGGAAUAUUGGACAAUGGGCGAAAGCCUGAUCCAGCCAUGCCGCGUGAGUGAAGAAGGCCUUCGGGUUGUAAAGCUCUUUCGACGGGGACGAUGAUGACGGUACCCGUAUAAGAAGCCCCGGCAAACUUCGUGCCAGCAGCCGCCGCAG